UGGGGAAUUUUGGACAAUGGGGGCAACCCUGAUCCAGCCAUCCAGCGUGUGCGAUGAAGGCCUUCGGGUUGUAAAGCACUUUUGGCAGGGAAGAAACAGCCUGGGCUAAUAUCCCGGGCGACUGACGGUACCUGCAGAAUAAGCACCGGCUAACUACGUGCCAGCAGCCGCGGUAAUACGUAGGGUGCAAGCGUUAAUCGGAAUUACUGGGCGUAAAGCGUGCGCAGGCGGUUCGGAAAGAAAGGUGUGAAAUCCCAGGGCUUAACCUUGGAACUGCACUUUUAACUACCGGGCUAGAGUACGUCAGAGGGGGGUAGAAUUCCACGUGUAGCAGUGAAAUGCGUAGGGAUGUGGAGGAAUACCGAUGGCUAAGGCAGCCCCCUGGGAUGAUACUGACGCUCAUGCACGAAAGCGUGGGGAGCAAA
rnacentral:rRNA from 1 species